GGCUGGGGCGCCGCCGGCGCGCAUGCUCCCGCCGCACCUGCUCCCGCGGGUGCGCCCCGAAGCGCGGCAGACUCCGGGUCCGGUCUCAAGUGCGCGGCGGUGGAGGGGCGGCUGCAGUUUACUCCCGGGGAUGUCUCUAGCAGGAGCCCCGAAACCUCGCUCCCGCCAGCCUGCCCCGCCCCCUGCGCCGCGUCGAGGAGCGCUCACCCCGGCUUCACUCCUGCUCUCGGGGUUCACCUGCCUCCUCUGGAGUCCUCUGCGUCCCGCGACUCCUCUCAAUUUUGCGACCUCCUCUCCUCAAGGUGCCUCUUUACAGCUCUAGACUUUGCUCCACGCGCGUCCGCAGAAGCCAUUUCAAAAUGAAAGAAGACUGUUUUCACCUGGACCCAACAAAUGUUCAGGAAGCCUGUUCCAGCUGCUGGAGACGAAGAAGGAAAGUGAAGGUACUAAUGGCAUACCCAUGCCGUCUCCAAGGUGAGAGACAGAGAAAAUGCAAAAGAGAAAAUUCAGAGAAAUGUGACUGCCAUUCAUCUCUGAUAUUUGGGACCCAGAAACUCCAGGGUUCAGCCCCAGCAUCUCACUGUGUACUUGUGUGUUUCCAGAGCAUGGAAAUGACUGCCUUAUCACGUUAAUUUGUUUCAGUGGCUUCAUUUGGACCAGGAUGGGUCCUUCAAAAAUGAACUCAGUGAUUUUCCAAGGUCCCAUUUCUCAUUGGACUUUACUUCCCUCUCAGCACCUUGCACAGUUCUUUGCACAGAAGAAGUGCUCAAAAAACAUUGCUGAAAUUAAAAUCACUUCAUCAUGUGCAAGGGGAGGCCAAGUGAAUGCUCAUCACGAAAGUCAUUCAAUACAAGCUUGACCACGAUGAGUGUUGGGCCUUCUGCAUUGAGGAUCCCAAGAUUUAUCCCUGUUUAUGGGUGUGGAGUGGCUGGGACCAAGGGUAGGCAUGUUAAAACCAUUGCCAGAACAGACCAUUACCAGCUGCUCAAGAAACACUGGAAGGUGACAAGGCUGAUAUGAGAAGAGUUGCCAUGUCUGCAGUUCAACCCUAAGAAGCUAUUUAUUAUUUCUUAUCCAUGUUUCCAUUAUCAUGUCUUUUGAUUUUUCUUUCUCCCUCUGCCUUCACUUAUCAUUGUCACAUUGAAAUAUGUGCAAGUGGGGAGUUCCCGUCAUGGCUCAGUGGUUAACAAAUCCAACUAGGAACCAUGAGGUUGCGGGUUCGAUCCCUGGCCUUGCUCAGUGGGUUAAGGAUCCAGUGUUGCCAUGAGCUGUGGUGUAGGUUGCAGACGCGGCUUGGAUCCUGCGUUGCUGUGGCUCUGGCAUAGGCCAGUGGCUACAGCUCCAAUUAGACCCCUAGCCUGCGAACCUCCACAUGCCGUGGGAGCGGCCCUAGAAAAGGCAAAAAAGAUUUUAAAAAAAGAAGAAAAAGAAAAAAGAAAUGUGUACAGGUAACCAGCCUCUUUGUCUGGGGUUAUAGACUUACUCUAAUCACCAUCCCAUUUCCCAAGCUAAAUAUUUUUUUGUAUUUUUUAAAUAUAUUUUUUUAUUUUUAAAUCAACCCUUUUUGUAUAGUCAAUUUACAGUGUUGUGUUAAUUUCUGCUGCACAAGCAAAAAGAUUCAGAUUAUAUAUACACACACACACACACACAUACGCAUGUGUGUGUUAUCUAGAUCUAUAUCUAUAUAUACACACUUUUUUUUUCUUUUUAUAUUCUUUUCCAUUGUGGUUUAUCGUAGGACAUUGAAUAUGGUUCUCUGCUCUGUGCUGGACAGUAGGACCUUGUCCCAAGCUAAUUUAACUUCCCCUCCUGCCCACCUUUUAUAUCUUUUUCCAUUAGUUUUGUCUCUGUUUAGUGCCAGCUCUUUGGACUCUGGCACAUAGAGUGACCCAGAGAGGCUCUUAAAUAGCUGUCUAGACACACAACUUGAUAGCCUCCAUCUUAAAAAAAAAUAAUACCUCUGAAUCUUACAUUGCCCUUCUGAAUCUUAGAUGACCUUACCACGUGUUCCAACUUAGCACAUCAAUCUUAAGACUCGUGCUGGCUUUUAUGAUAGAGUUCCAGUCCUGGGGCCAAUCUCGGCCCUCUGCUCUCAUCUUUCCACCACAAGCUUUAAUUUAAGCCUGAAAAUGAACUACCACCAAGAUAAAUGAAUAGCAAACAUGAAUCAAAAGGGGGGACUUUGACUUUGUCACUAACGGUCUUAAUAAUCACACUAAUUUGUCACGUGUACAGGUGCCCAUAGGCAAAGCAUCGUGCAAAGCAUCAUGAUUUGUGUUUCUUGAAUUGCUUCAUUGUCUCCUCAGUGGGCAAAUAAGUUCUUAUGCUCCACGUAUAUUUUACUACUUAUACUAUAUUCCAAGAAUAUUUUCAAAAUUUGAGGCAAUAAUCUUCUUAGUUAGAGGCUUUGGUCAACAUUUAUCCAGGUCUUUCUUUUUUAUUGUUGUUACAUUCCAUAGUAAACUAUGAGGAAAAAUUUUAAAUAGCAGAGUAUGCAAAUUAUAGUUGUACAAUACUGACCUUUUUUUUUUUUUUUUUGGUCAUACUGUCUAUGCCCCUGUAGUGUUUUUUCUAAGUGUUUCAUUUGGUCUUAAUAUCAUCUCUCACCCCCUGAAUAAUUAGUAUCAUUUAUUAUUUUAUUUUAUUUUAUUUUAUUUUAUUUUAUUUUUAUUUUUUAGCUGCACCCAAGGCAUAGAAGUUCAUGGGCCAGGGGUCGAAGCCAUGCCACAGCAGUGACCUGAGCCACUGCAGUGAUAACACUAGAUCCUUAACCACUAGGCCACAAGGGAACUCCAUUUUUCUUAUUUUAUAAAAAAAAAUGAUAAUCAUUUCUAUGGUUCUCAUUUGUUUUCUAUGUUUUGUUAUUGAUUAUCACUGUUUUCUGACAAUCUGGCCUUCAGGAUAUCCUACCUUAAAUAACCAGAUAUCUGACAGGAAAACAUUUUAGUGGCAAUUUGUUCAUAGAUCCUCAAAUAAAGAUAUGAUAAAGCAAAA
rnacentral:lncRNA from 1 species